UAUCUUUGCACGCUGAUUGAAGGCCAAUCAAUACAUAAAAAUCAUUUAAAUAAUAUUGGAAUG
rfam:Muricauda sp. TMED12 MHASMcontig_414115, whole genome shotgun sequence.